AGAGUUUGAUCCUGGCUCAGGAUGAACGCUGGCGGUCUGCUUAACACAUGCAAGUCGAACGAAUCCCUUCGGGGAUUAGUGGCGGACGGGUGAGUAACGCGUGAGAAUCUACCAAAAGGACUGGGACAACCACUGGAAACGGUGGCUAAUACCGGAUGAGCCGCAACGUAAAAGAGGAAACUCGCCUUUUGAAGAGCUCGCGUCUGAUUAGCUAGUUGGUGAGGUAAAGGCUCACCAAGGCGGCGAUCAGUAGCUGGUCUGAGAGGAUGAUCAGCCACACUGGGACUGAGACACGGCCCAGACUCCUACGGGAGGCAGCAGUGGGGAAUUUCCCGCAAUGGGCGAAAGCCUGACGGAGCAAGACCGCGUGAGGGAGGAAGGCUCUUGGGUUGUAAACCUCUUUUGUCAGGGAAGAACACAAUGACGGUACCUGAAGAAUCAGCAUCGGCUAACUCCGUGCCAGCAGCCGCGGUAAUACGGAGGAUGCAAGCGUUAUCCGGAAUUAUUGGGCGUAAAGCGUCCGCAGGUGGCACUUCAAGUCUGCUGUCAAAGACCGGGGCUUAACCCUGGAAAGGCAGUGGAAACUGAAGCGCUAGAGUGUGGCAGGGGUAGAGGGAAUUCCCGGUGUAGCGGUGAAAUGCGUAGAGAUCGGGAAGAACAUCGGUGGCGAAAGCGCUCUACUGGGCCACAACUGACACUCAGGGACGAAAGCUAGGGGAGCGAAUGGGAUUAGAUACCCCCGUAGUCC
rnacentral:rRNA from 1 species